rnacentral:rRNA from 1 species
AGCAGCCGCGGUAAUUCCAGCUCCAAUAGCGUAUAUUAAAGUUGUUGCAGUUAAAAAGCUCGUAGUUGAAUUUCGGGGUCAGUAGGUUGGUCGUGCCACCGGUACGUACUGGUCUCACUGAUUCCUCCUUCCUGAUGAGCUGUAAUGCCAUUAAUUUGGUGUUGCAGGGAAUCUGGACUGUUACUUUGAAAAAUUAGAGUGUUUAAAGCAGGCUAACGCUUGAAUACAUUAGCAUGGAAUAAUGAAAUAGGACGUUCGAUCCUAUUUUGUUGGUUUCUAGGAUUGACGUAAUGAUUAAUAGGGAUAGUUGGGGGCAUUAGUAUUCAAUUGUCAGAGGUGAAAUUCUUGGAUUUAUUGAAGACUAACUACUGCGAAAGCAUUUGCCAAGGAUGUUUUCAUUAAUCAAGAACGAAAGUUAGGGGAUCGAAGACGAUCAGAUACCGUCGUAGUCUUAACCAUAAACUAUGCCGACUAGGGAUCGGAUGAUGUUAAUUUUUAAUGA